AGUUUUGGUUUAGGUUAAGGUUAUAGGUUUUGGUUUAGGUUUAGGUUUAGGUUUUAGGUUUAGGUUAAGGUUAUAGAUUUAGGUUAUAGGUUUUCGUUAGGUUUAGGUUUAGGUUAUAGGUUAUGCUUUAGGGAUUUGAGAAUAGGUUAAGGUUUAGGUUUAGGAAAUCGGGUUCGAGUUCGGGAUCGGGUUUAGGCUUGGGUUUUCAAGUUUAGGUUUAGGUUUAGGUUAGGGAGUUGAGAUUGGGAUUAGGUGUAGGUUUAGGUUUAGGGAUUUGAGAAUAGGUUAUGGUUUAGGUUUAGGUUUUAGCUUAUAGGUUUAGGUUAUAGGUUUAGGUUAAGGUUUUAGGUUUAGGUUAAGGUUAUAAGUUUAGGUUAUAGGUUAUAGGUUAUAGGUUAAGGUUUAGGUUAUAGGUUUUGGUUUAGGUUAAGGUUAUAGGUUUUGGUUUAGGUUAAGGUUUAGGUUUUGGGUUUAGUUUAAGGUUACAGGUUAAGGUUAAGGUUAAGGUUAUAGG